rfam:Pongo abelii chromosome X.
CUCCAGCUACGGAGACAUGGUGCCCAGCACCAUUGCUGCAAGAUUUUGGGUCCAUUUGCUCACUCAGUGGCGUCUUGGUCAUUGCCCUGCUGUGCCAGUCAUUGUGUCCAAC